rnacentral:rRNA from 1 species
AGUGAACGCUGGCGGUAGGCCUAACACAUGCAAGUCGAACGGCAGCACAGUAAGAGCUUGCUCUUACGGGUGGCGAGUGGCGGACGGGUGAGGAAUACAUCGGAAUCUACUUUUUCGUGGGGGAUAACGUAGGGAAACUUACGCUAAUACCGCAUACGACCUACGGGUGAAAGCAGGGGAUCUUCGGACCUUGCGCGAUUGAAUGAGCCGAUGUGGGAUUAGCUAGUUGGCGGGGGAAAGGCCCACCAAGGCGACGAUCCGUAGCUGGUCUGAGAGGAUGAUCAGCCACCCUGGAACUGAGACACGGUCCAGACUCCUACGGGAGGCAGCAGUGGGGAAUAUUGGACAAUGGGCGCAAGCCUGAUCCAGCCAUACCGCGUGGGUGAAGAAGGCCUUCGGGUUGUAAAGCCCUUUUGUUGGGAAAGAAAAGCAGCAGGUUAAUACCCCGCUGUUCUGACGGUACCCAAAGAAUAAGCACCGGCUAACUUCGUG